CAUAAAUUUUUUAUAGGUUUUUUAUUGAUAUUUAGAGAGUACAAAUCAUUUAUAAUAUUAAACAAAACAAAAAUGUCAAUAAAUUCUAGGCCGGCAAAGUGGGGACUGAUGAAAAAAUGGCGUCUCCUGGUGUACAGGAUAUCAGGACUCCCAGUAACCCGUAAGGAAAAUUAUUGAGUGAUCCUUAGAGAGGAAGGAGAAGAAGCCGCCAUCUUUUAAAAAAUAUGUUUCGGUAUAUCCGUUUUUUGCUGUUUGGAAUUUUUUAAAAAUAUAAAAAAAAUAUAAAUAUUUCAAAAAUCCACCCGUAAAAAGUAGUUCAGAGAAAAACAACUUUAAAGUUUGCGCCGAGCUGUCAGCCGUCUCUGUCGGCGCAUCAUAAAAUAAGCCAUAACUUAAAAAAUAAUUAAAAUUUCAAAAAACCGCUUAAGGGACAAAACAAAAUCGAAUUUUUCUAAAUUUCUAAACCAGCAUACCCGCUUAAUUUCACGAGACAUCUUCACGAAAUUUGGAACGGAUUAUUAUCGAAGACAAUAAUGGAAUCUUCGAAGAAAUUAACAUGUAAUGCAUUAAGGUAUUUAAAUGUUUUCAUGGAAGGCAGCGGUCUGAUAUAAGUUGCUGCGAUGAUGCCACCCAUUUCAAAAAUUAAAUUGACCGAAGCUGAAAUUCUUAAUAAUUUUUUGAGAAGAUAAUAAGUCAAGGUUACGAAUUUGUAAAGUUAUCACCUAAUUUAAUUAAUUACAUGUUUGCCGCUCAAGCACCCACUGCCACCAACAACAUAUAAGCGCUAAGAUGAGAUACCACCUAAAGGAGCCGACAAGCUUUAAGAAAGAAAGGUUAAGAAGCAGAGAGAGUUUAAAAAUCAGAAAACAGCAGGCAACCUUACAAAUACGGUGAAUGUAAAUAACAACAACAAUAACAACGAAACAACCAGAAAGCAAUUCAUAAAACUACAAAACUAAGACAAAUUAUAAUAACAAGCACAGAUGGGCACAAAAUUCGACACGCACACUUGCCACACAUAUGUAUCAAAAACUCCUCCGACAGUUGAGAGGCAAAUUAAGUGCCGCGGGAUAUCGUCGUCAGCAGGCAGCGCAACGCAACACGAUAUCGCCCACCGCUGUGUCCCGCUUGCCUUGCCACACAGCCCUGCUGCUUCCCACGAGCAGCGUGCCUCCACCUACUCCAACUGCGAAAGUGUUGCGCCGGCGUACGGCAGUUCCGCCAUUCACCAGCUAUUAGCGCAAUUAAAGUGUGUCUGCCACAAAAUUCACUUUAUUAAUAAUACACGUGUUGUUGUUAUUGCUAGUUUGGCGUACGCAUCAUUUGUCAAAUUUUUAAUGAUAUUCGAGGGAAUAUGAAAUUAAAACAUGUAAACUCUGUGGCAGUAAGCUGAUACGAAGGUGCGUGAAGGGACCGCCUCCACAAAGCGCUGCGUGCAUGUCUAUAUGUGUGUGUGUGCUUGGAAUACGAAAUGGUUAAAUAUUGCACCACGAGGCAGCAACUUCUAGGCUUCGACUACUAUUUUCAUUUUCUUCUCCUGCUUGUGAUUUGUAAAGCGUUUUGUUUGGCGAUAUCGCGCAGCCGCAGCGCUGUUGCAAGCGAAUGAUUUAUGACACUGCCGCAGCGCCUACAAAAAUCACGAUUAUUUCUUACUUCAUACGGCAUGUGCGGCUGUCGAUGGGGGAGCAGUGGCGCGUUUUUAUGAAUGCUUGAUAAAAGCCAAGUUGCGCUUUUCUUUUAACUUGCCACACGGCGCAGGCAACCUGCAAACUACUGUCAUGCCACAAGUUGGUGCUGUGUAUUGGAAAUCAAUUGAUGUGCAAUUCAAAGCGUAGCAAUUCAAUUCACUCGACAAUGUGUGGAAGGGUGCACUCGGCAGCGUGGCAGCGCCUAACAAUUGUGGCAACACCGCUGAACUUACAAAAAACAAACAAAAAAAAUUAACAAAAGCAACAACGCCUCUUGCGCCUGUUUCGUGGCUGCGCGAAAUGAGUAAUGUUCGGCCGUCAAUGCGCUGUCAGCUGAAAAGAAUGCGCAGACGCCGGGCUGUUGUGCGCUGAACAGCUCACUCGGCCGCGUCGCGCUGCGGCCACCGUUGGCUGCUGCCGUCUACGCUUUCUCACCUCUUGCUGUCGAUCGUGCUUUUGUGCUUCUUCGCCAGCUUGACACCGCAUGUGGCAACAUAUAUUCACCGACUUUUGGUUUUGUUCUUCCAAGCGACUGCUGGUGCUUCUAAUAAAACAGCUGCUUCGUCAGCGGCAAGAACAACAAUUGCUGUCGCUUAUUUGAUUCAGUCAGAAUUCCAUUUUUUAUUAGCUGCUGCCGCUGCUGCUAUUGCUUCUGGUGCUUCUGAUGCUGAUGCUGUUUGAUUGAUGUUCGUUUGUUUUGUAAACUCACUUUGUUGUUGCUAUUAUUGUUGUGUUUGUUAUUGUUCUUUUUGAUAUGAUUUGCUAAGGUUACUUGCGCUGUUGCCACAUGUUGUGCAGCAUUGUGAUUUCUUGUUUUGUUAUUUCAUUUGUUGUUGUUGUUGUUGUGUAUAAAUUGGUGUUUGUUGUGGCUACCAAUAAUAUGUUGGGCGAUAAGCACCGGCACACAGUAAAAAAAUGAAGUCAAAAUAUUUUUUGUAUUAAAUUACAAUAAAUUCGUUUGCCUUGGUAAAAUUUCUUCUGUG